rnacentral:snRNA from 1 species
GUGCUCGCUUAGGCAGCACAUAUACUAAAACUGGAACGAUACAGAGAAUAUUAGCAUGGCCCCUGUGCAAGGAUGACAUGCAAAUUCCUGAAGUGUUCCAUAUUUUU